GAUGAAGAACGUAGCGAAAUGCGAUAAGUAGUGUGAAUUGCAGAAUUCAGUGAAUCAUCGAAUCUUUGAACGCACAUUGCGCCCCUUGGUAUUCCAUGGGGCAUGCCUGUUCGAGCGUCAUUUGUACCUUCAAGCUUUGCUUGGUGUUGGGUGUUUGUCCCUCGGGACUCGCCUUAAAGUCAUUGCAGCCAGUGUUUUGGUUUUGAAGCGCAGCACAAGUCGCGAUUCAAGGCUAUCCGCCCGCUUCCACAAGCCUUUUUCACUUUUGACCUCGGAUCAGGUAGGGAUACCCGCUGAACUUAAGCAUAUCAAUAAGCGGAGGA
rnacentral:misc_RNA from 1 species